CGCGAUCUUAUCUGCACCGACUCCGGGUUUUUUUUUCUCCCUCUGUAUGUAUACAGUGCAGUUAUCAACCGACGACAGCGCAAAAUUUCCGUCCUGCCCUGCGCACGCACAUUAAACGCGAGAAUACGGGAUAUCGGAGAUUUCGGGCAAAUCCCUGUAUUUCCCUCGUACCUGUGGAUUUAACGCGUAAACAGCAUAUUGUGUUUUUAUCCCCUGCGAACUUUUACCCCGACCGUUUAAUGUCACAUAACGACCGUCCAGUCUACACAAUGUCGGCGGCGCGAUAAUUAUUUAUACUUCGUUUAUUACCGCGAUCGUCGGUCGAGAAACCCAGUUUUUACGGUACGGUUUUAUUUUCCUCUUUACAUUUAGAACGCCGUCGCACGAUAUUAUAUACCUAACGCGAAAGUCUGCA